rnacentral:rRNA from 1 species
CCUACGGGGAGCUGCAGUGGGGGAUAUUGCACAAUGGGGGGAACCCUGAUGCAGCGACGUCGCGUGGGUGAAGAAGCGCCUCGGCGCGUAAAGCUCUGUCAGCAGGGAAGAAAAUGACGGUACCUGAAGACGAAGCCCCGGCUAAAUACGUGCCAGCAGCCGCGGUCAUACGUAGGGGGCCAGCGUUAUCCGGAUUUACUGGGGGUAAAGGGGGCGCAGACGGCGAUGCAAGCGAGGAGUGAAAGCCCGGGGCCCAACCCCGGGACUGCUGUUGGAACGGCGUGGCUGGAGUGCAGGAGGGGCAGGCGGAAUUCCUGGUGUAGCGGUGAAAUGCGUAGAUAUCAGGAGGAACGCCGGUGGCGAAGGCGGCCUGCUGGACUGCAACUGACGUUGAGGCCCGAAAGCGUGGGGAGCAAACAGGAUUAGAUACCCGAGUAGUC